rnacentral:rRNA from 1 species
AUGGUGGGAUGUCAUGCUUGUCCCCUGGGUCACUUCAUAAAUAGUGCCAGGGGACAAGUGACACUAUACAUGAUGGCAUCGAGGUACAGCCGUCUCGUCCGCGGUAUGGCCGCCACGUCGGGGUCUUGUCGGUCUCGGGCUGCAGUCGGCAGCCGGCUGGUUGGCGCAGUCGGCAGCCGGAUGGUUGGCGCAGUCGGUAGCCGGCUGGUAGGCGCAGUCGGCAGCCGGCUGGGGAGCCAGCGGAAGCGGCCGGGCAGUCGGACUGAGGGGCUUUGCCAGCCCCGAUGUCUUGAAAUAUCAUCUUGCCGUCUUCGGGGUAUCCGUGUCCAAUUACUCCGACAGUAG